GCAGCCCUGCAGCUGAUAAAAGGGACUUCUUGGGCUUUGCUUGUCUGAUUUUGUCACCAUGUAGUUGUGGAUGAGGCAGUUCUGGAGUAUCCAUUUUUCUCCGUUGGCCAGAAAGGGAGUUUCUUUCUUGCCCAGAUGAACGUGUCUGCAACUGACCCCUUGAAAUGCUUCAGGGACAAUAAUUAUAUGGCUACAAAGCAAAGAAGGAAUCCGGCUGACAGAAAGGGAGGGGCUGGUUGAGGUGGGAAUGAGAGCAUACAUGAAAUGAUUUGUCGUCUCUUUGUAAAUUGUAUGAGAACAACCCAAACAGGCCACUGCAGCUGAAGAAAGUGAAUUUCAAUGAUCUGAUAUCUUCCAGGCAAAAUCCCAUGGGAAGCGAUUCCGAGGAGAGGGGCUUAAAUAACAGACAACAGGAGCACAAGCGCUGGCCAUCCCAGAGCAAAGCGUGGGCUGGGAGUGCCAAAGGAGCCAAAGAGAAGUUCUUCAUUGGCUUCAGAUACAAGACAGAGCAUACAGAGAGUGACAACUGCUGCGGUACUCGGGGCUGCUGUGAAGGAGUCGUAUGGAAAGGGAAGGACCGCUUCACAGAAGGAGGGUGUAAUGAGGAAUAUCGAAGGUAGAAGGAACUGUAAGUAGUACGAGAUGGAUUGAGAAUUGGACCACUGCUUGGCAGAAAGGGGAAGGUACGGACAGGCAGGUCCCUGAGAAGUUGUGCACCCAUCCACAGCUGCUUUGAUUAUGAGCUCCCCACUGAGCUUCCUACUUUCUCUGUGCUGGUUUUUAUCAGGCCAGUUGGUUUCUUUCUUCUAAACACCCUGUUUGGCCUCUUUGAGCAUCAGUGCAUUUUUAUUCUCCAUAAAUCUGAUGAAGUUUCUGUUUAUCCCAAGGAUUGCUAUUGUUCUUUAAAUAAUAGCAAUGCAAGUAGGUUGGAGGUCUCCUCGGGCAGAGCCGUAGGACUGAUGGGUGCAGGCUGGCUGUGCCUGCUGGGCUCGAGUCUGGAUUGCUAAUGGUGGCUGUUCAGUAUCCACCUUAGUUCCCAAUGGGUUGGAAAGCGCUUUGUGAUGUGGCACACAUACACCAUUCCCCUAACGACGGAACCGAAGUAUUUCAUCAACACUUGCACGUUUUGACUCUGCAGUUUGCAGGUGCAAAGUUUCUCACUGAAUGGGAGAGUAUUUGUGGCAGGAACCAAGACUGGAAGGGCUGAGGUAGGUGAGGAGGGGAAGGCCCCAGGGCUCCUCAGGAGAGGGGUGGCACACACAGAAGCCACAACACACGGGGUUUGUGUUGCAGGCGGAUGGCUGAGCGCAGAGCCGAAAGGUGGUGAUGCUCACACAGCCCCGCGUGAAGGCGGGAUGCAAUUAGUGCAGAACGUCUGCUUCAAUAAAUCACCGCAAAAAGCGCUGCGCUCAGGGAAGACUGCUGUGGGACUGAUAGGGGCAGGAGAUGCCCCGGUCAGUGGUGUCCAUGUGAGUUGCAAGAAGGAAGGAAAGAACGGAGAACAGAGAUCGGAGACCAUCAACAGACGUUUCAGAUACUGACACCAACAGCACUUCUGAGAGCUGCGUGGCCUGAGGAGCAGUGUAAGAAGAUGGCUGGAAAUACGGCCUGCCUCCUGCUCCCACCUGAGGGUGGGCUGAGGAGGACACAAUGGGCUCUGUGGUUCCGAGAUGAGAGAGAAGAGUAGCAAAGGGGAUUAAUCAGGCCGAAGAAUCUGGCUGCAAGGCAUCCUGACGGUGACUGGAGCAGCCUGUGCUGCUGAACUGGUUCUUCUUCACUCAUCACAGCUUCAGGGGAGGUCUUGCAGGAAUCUAAGAACACUUCAGGAAAGAGCUGAACUCUGGGCUGGCUGCACAGAGCCCAGGGAGCUGAGACGACGGCAGGAAACCCACAGACCACAGCAGUGUUUGUAGUGCUCAGCCUCUGGACACAUCCUGGGGCUUCCUUAUGCCUCAAGGCUAGCUAACCACUUGAAUGAAGAGGGAGCUUUUCCUGCUUGCUCUUUAUUCUUUGGAUCCUCCCUGGACUCAGCCUGUGCUGGCAGCACUGUGGUGCCGCAGCAGCUUCAGGAACGCCUCUGACAGCCCCAGAGCUGCGAGGGAGCAGCUACUCUGCAUGCAAGGAGGAGCACUGCGUCUCCUGAGCCCUCACUUUAAGUCAUGCAAACGGUGUUUGGAUGUUUCUGAGCCUUGAAGUGCCUCCUGUCUCCCACCUCACAUCCUUCCUGACAGCUCCCUGCUCCUGUGCUGGAGGAUGUGUGCUGACAGAGGAAAAGUACUGUUGUCUUCCUGAGACCCUCCAAUAGGGAGAGCGGGUGUUGGGGAAUAGAUUUGCAGGGCAGAGGGCAGGGAACAGCUCCUGAAUGUGCCCCCACACCAUUCCAAAGAAGCCAGUACUGAGGGAUAGGGAAUUAGUUGGUUCCUUUUCACUCAUAGCCCUCACUGAGCAAUACCUGCAUGGGAUAUUACCACCCCACCAGCUCACUGCAUCCUGGGGCACCUCCAUCUCCUGUGGGAGUGGGCUGGGCACGCUGGGCAUGAGCUGCUGCCACAAGAGUCUGCUCUGUGCCAGCAGCAAGCGGCCACCAUCUGCAGCAGGGAGGGAGGCACAGAGAGGGGAAGCGAGCUGCCAUUUCCCAUUGCCAUCGUGGUCAUGCAUUUAGUACUGCCAUAUGAGAUACCCUUUCCACUGGGAACUGUCGCCCUGGGGUGUGAGCUGUACAGUGCCUGCAUGGAGCCAGGGAACUGCUGAGUCACGGCCUGAACCACUGAUGGAUCACCUGGGGAAAGGACCCGGUCAGCCCUGGGAGCACAGGUGAAGGCAAUUCAUGUGUGUGACCAGAAGGGGUGGAGCCUGACUGCACCUCUCUUAGACCUCAUUUCAGGGCUGACUGCCACUGGGGAAGGAUGGUGUUCUGGAGAUCCCUCCUUGGUGAAGCUUUGCCCUGUGAACCUGGAAUCUUCUGAGACGGCCCACCCUUGGAUACCGACAGGCCGCUCUUCUCCAAGGAGAAGUUGGGAGUCCUGAACGCGUCCGACAAGGCUGCGUUCCGCCCCGCGUACCAACACCUUCGCCGGGUUCAGCCGUUAAUUACCCUGAAACGACGGAGGCUCUUUGCGGCGCUGGGCAGGCAUCUGCCGUGGGGACGGCGGUGGCCGAGGGGCAGCUCGGCGCGGUACCGCCCGGCCGGGGGGG
ensembl:lncRNA